AUUUUCAUGUUUUUACUUUAAGGUUAUGAUUAGUUUUAUGCAUCAUCCGUGAAUUUGAGGCGUGUUGAUUGCAGUGGACUUCUAAUUUAUUUUACAGAAAUGUUGAGGGCGAAAGCACACUGUAAUGAGACUGUUAUCAUUUAUGUUAAAUCUUUAUUUUAAUUUACCUCCUCUUCCCCUUUCUGCAAUGUGUUUUCAUGGGAGAGAGUCGACCCAGUUGCCGUCCGCAUAUUGAUUUGGUCAAAAGAAAGCACACGACCCAGACAACAACCAGUUACACAUGAUUACAGCAGCACGACUGAGAAAUAGUUGUACCUUCAGUUGUGACCCCGGGGUCCGAUGUUGUUUUCUUUCCAUCGCCUCGUUUCACAUAAUAAUAAAUGCCAGCUGCAGUGGCUGCAGCUCCGGCCAUGUACAGCAGGGGGCGCAGAGGAAGUUCCACUACACCAGCGCCAAGUGCACUCAAAAACUUUUUCAUUUUCUCUCUUGAUGAGAGCAACUACAAUAAUCACCUUAAUCACGCAAAGUUCAGUGAAUAUCUGAAAGCUCCGCGUUCUUUUUUCUCUCUCAUAAACGGAGCUGUUAUGUGACGUCACGGAAGGUAGACACGUCGCGGUCAUCAUAGCAUGUUGCUUAGCAACACCGUUCCAACAAUCCGGAAGUCCCGAUCGUGAAUGGAUGAAGCGAAUCCCUGAGCAGUUUAAGGCUGUGUUUAUCAUUUUCAUCUGCUCAGUUUAGGAGCCUGUACACUUUGGGCAUAAAUCAACUGUUUAGCUUGAAUGGAAAUAUAUUUUAUUGUCUAUAAAUAACGACUAUAAUGUGCACACAAAUACAUUUCUAAGCUUUUGGGUUACAAUUUCCUUUUCAUAAUUUUCAUACACAAAGUGACUACAAGCUACAUGAAGCUAAAAUGAAAUGACUCAUAAUUUUAUUAUCAUAUUUAUCCCACACAAACUUUUACAUUCCCUUUAAAUCAUUUAAGAUAAAAAACACUGAAUUUCACUGGUGAGUGAAGUGUAGCUGGUUUAGUCUGUUAUCGUGUUUACGUGACAGCUGAUUCAUUAAAUAUUAUUUUCUGUUAUUUUUAAAUAUUUCGGAAUAAAUUCACAGUAAGUUCGUCCAUUUAUCCAUUAACUUGCACAUUUAUAAUCGGAAGAGGAAGCAUUCCGCCACUCGUGGCUUGCUCAGUUGGGAUAAAUUCACACCUUUAAUAUCUGUACACCGUGUUGAUAUUUCUGCAAAGCUGCUUUGAGACAAUGUUUAUUGUAAAAAGCGCUAUACAAAUAAAAUUGAAUUGAAAUUUAUUUGACAUGAUCUUGAUUAACUACAUUUAUUAAUCAAUAAAUAUAUAUAAUAUAUAAUUGAUCUAUUUAUCUAUUGAUGUGUACAGCUCUUAAGGCAAAACUCUACAAGUGCAUGGUGAAUAAUGAUAAAUGAUUAAAGAGGAAGACGGGGUGAGAAUGGGGUGGGAUGUUGGAGGUGGUUACAUGUGUUGGUGUUUAGAGGUUGUGUUCGGUUGUGCUGCUUGUAUGCUAUUUUCUAACGGCUGUUCUGAUUUUUGGUUUGGUUGUCCCUGUAUCUGUUAUUGUGUAUUCUCUUCACUAUUGUAUAUAUGUUCACUUGGUUCACCAGCAGUAGGGGUGUGGCUGAUACUUCUUUUGGGUGAGAGUCCUUUUGUCUCUGUUUUUUUUUUUUUUUUUUUCUUAGGUAGUCAGGGAAGUAUUCUUGUAUUUUUAUUUCUUUUCUUUUGGGUAAGCUAGCUAAUAGAAUUCCUUUGUUCAUUAUUUUGGCCUUGGCCCACCCUGAAGUUACGCCUGGUUUGGU
ensembl:lncRNA